CUUCCAUGCCCGCUGUAGCACGCCAUCAGCCAGCCGCAGUCUCUCAAACUUUGACCACAACACUUUGGUCGCGAAUCAGAGCGCUGUCACCUCUUCCCAUGGUGACCUCACCUGCGCCUCUACCCACUGUAGCACUGGCUGUAGGUCUGUGUCCCGUCCCUGCUGCUGCCCCCAUUCAGCCACAUCGUCAGUCUGCAGCUCACAGCAGACAGGCCCGCUCACCCUACACACUGUGGCACAGACCCCCUCCUCUGCACACAGCUCUCUCUCCCGUCCCUCUCUCCUCCCACAGUGGCGGCAGCCGUCUGCAGUACAGGGCCGAUGGGACAUGGCAUCGGCGUUGGAGUGUUGUGCCCCUGCCCUGUGCACCACUGUUAAAGUGGAAGCCACAACAGCCAAGAGCUCCCACCAGGUGACAGUAGCGGCGCUCAUGUUUGUCAAAUGUUUUGCUGAAGUACGCCACCACUCUCUCCCCCUCUGGCCCCACCUGGGCCAGCACCCCACCCAUGCCCACAUUGCUCGCGUCUGUGUCCAGGGCAAGGUGAAGUCAGGGGGAGGGUGAGCAUGGGGGCCUCGAUCAGUGCACGUUUGAUGGUGUUGAAGGCCUCCUCACACUCCACGGUCCAAGUAAAGGCCUUCGGCAGCAAUCGGUUCAGGGGAGCAGUGAUGCGUGAGAAGCCCCGUACAAACCUCCUGUAGUACGAGGCCAGGCCCAGAAAGCUCUUCAGCUGAUGCCUGUCGUGGGGGUGGGCCAGUCUCGGACAGCCCCCUUCUUGUCCUCCAGGCCGUGCACAGGCCGAAGCACAGGACCUUGAACUGCCAGUGUCCUCUGUUAGUGGAGAAGGUAGUUUUGGCUCUGGCCUCUGGGGAGAGCUGUCUCUGAACUCAAACAGCAACUGCCACAACCAUUCCUGCUGCUCGGGGUCAAGACCAACACGGUUCCUCUACAAUAUUAACGUUGGUUGCGAGAUACAGAAAAAGACGAAUAAGAAGAAUAUAGAGAAGAAGAAAAGUCAGUAUUUCCACAGCUCCACAAGCUCCUUUCGCGAUUGGCGAAAGCAUCAUAUAUGAAAUGUAUCAAGGGAUGCCCGAGACCUCUGGCUCUGAACAAGACAGUGAGCCAGAGCUGCCAGGAGAUGUCAUCGAGCCCCUCCCUACUGUAUCAAGCACCAGAUAUGCUGUUCCAGAAGGACCCAAUGACAUUUCAAGAUCCAGAGAAGAGGGUCCUGUACAGCCGUGUUUGAAAACAUUUCCCAGAACUCAGCAUGGUACUAGGAAAAGGGCUUUCAACAGCUCCUGGUAUAAGGACAAUUCAUGGCUUGAAAUUUCUGUAAGUCAAGAUUUGACUUAUUGUUUUGCCUGUAGGCAUGUUUCUCUGCCCAAUGCACCUGAAUCUGUCUUCACUUCACAGUCAGGUUUUUGUAACUGGAAAAUGGUGCUGUUUAAAGAUUCUGGGUUUAAGCUCCAUUUGAAGGCAGAGCAUCAUAUCAAUGCUAUGUAUGCUUGGAAUCAGCAUCAAAGGGCUAUUGACAGCAACUCAUCAAUGUUAGAUGUCAUAAUUGAGGACCGGAAAAAGAAAGUGGAGGAAAACUGUACUUUCAUUAAAACAAUUGCAGAUGUGCUCCUAUUAACUGCCACUCAAAAUGUAGCGCAGAGAGGUCAUCGAGAGUCUGAUGACUCUAACAACAAGGGUAAUUUUUCCUCUGUCCGGUGUCUGUGUUCUUUUACCCAUCUUAAUCUUUUAUCUUUUAU